UCCUUGGUGGUCUAGUGGUUAGGACUCUGCUCUCUCACUGUUGAGGGCCUGAGUUUGAUCCCCGGUCAGGGAA
rfam:Ovis aries breed Texel chromosome 17, whole genome shotgun sequence.